rnacentral:rRNA from 1 species
UGGGGAAUAUUGGACAAUGGGCGAAAGCCUGAUCCAGCCAUGCCGCGUGUGUGAAGAAGGUCUUCGGAUUGUAAAGCACUUUAAGUUGGGAGGAAGGGCAGUAAAUUAAUACUUUGCUGUUUUGACGUUACCGACAGAAUAGGCACCGGCUAACUCUGUGCCAGCAGCCGCGGUAAUACAGAGGGUGCAAGCGUUAAUCGGAAUUACUGGGCGUAAAGCGCGCGUAGGUGGUUCGUUAAGUUGGAUGUGAAAUCCCCGGGCUCAACCUGGGAACUGCAUUCAAAACUGACGAGCUAGAGUAUGGUAGAGGGUGGUGGAAUUUCCUGUGUAGCGGUGAAAUGCGUAGAUAUAGGAAGGAACACCAGUGGCGAAGGCGACCACCUGGACUGAUACUGACACUGAGGUGCGAAAGCGUGGGGAGCAAAACAGGAUUAGAUACCCUGGUAGUCCAC